rnacentral:rRNA from 1 species
AUGCUUCUCCUAAAGACUAAGCCAUGCAUGUCUUCGAAUAAGAGGAAGCAAUUCUCUCUGAAUCUGCGAACGGCUCCGCAAACCAGUUGUAAACUACAGCAAGCCCGCUUGGGCCUGGCCUUCACGGGUCGGGUCCAGGCAACACGGAUAACCCUGGUAAUUCUGAGGCUAAUACGAGGACGUAACCCCUGGCUGACCGGCAACGGGAGGCUGGGGAACGUGUAACAAUCUCGCGAGGAAUCUUGCCGGGAAUCGGGUG